GCUGGGCAUGGUGGUGCAUGCCUGUAAUCCCAGCUACGCGGGAGGCUGAGGCAGGAGAAUUGCUUGAACCCAGGAGGCAGAGACUGCAGUGAGCCAAGAUUGUACCACUGCACUAUAGCCUGGGUGACAGAGCAAGACUCUGUCUCCA
ensembl:misc_RNA Metazoa_SRP Metazoan signal recognition particle RNA